AAGAAGUGAAAAUUAGAAGAUAUUCCAAAUAAUCAAAGCUGGUAUAUAGACAAGAUCCAUAUUAAUAUAAAAUAACAAAAAAGCAUUAUAAACAGUAUCAACAGGUCGAAUUAACAAGAAAAUACGAUUUGAGAGUACUCGCAGUUACUGACAGCUAGUUAAAAGCCAAAAACAAUUAAUAAUAAAAAAUCAUGCAUCAGAGACUAAAAUGAACUAAAACACA
rnacentral:lncRNA from 1 species